UGACGCGGUUUCCUGGCCGGGGGUUGGGCAGGCGCUUGGGGGGCUUCCCUCGGGGGCUUGUCGCCGGGGCUGCCUGGGCUUUCGGGUCUUCCGAGGCUGACAUUCACGUUUCAUUCUGCCACACUCGGGAACGGUGAUCGGGGAAGAAUGGGGAUCCGGGAGAAGCACUCGCAAAACUAGCAUCCUCCUGGAGGAGCUCGGGAAUAGGAUGAGUGAUAAUCCACCCAGAAUGGAAGUGUGUCCUUAUUGUAAGAAGCCAUUUAAACGAUUAAAAUCCCACUUGCCAUACUGUAAGAUGAUAGGAUCAACCAUACCUACUGAUCAAAAAGUUCAUCAGUCCAAGCCAGCUACACUCCCACGUGCUAAAAAAAUGAAAGGGCCAAUCAAAGAUUUAAUUAAAGCUAAAGGGAAAGAGUUAGAGACAGAGAAUGAAGAAAGAAAUUCUAAGUUGAUGAUGGACAAACCAGAACAGACAGUGAAGACCUUUCCACUACCAGCUGUUGGUUUGGAAAGAGCAACUACUACAAAGGCAGAUAAAGACAUCAAGAAUCCAAUCCAACCAUCCUUCAAAAUGUUAAAAAAUACUAAGCCAAAGACUACUUUCCAAGAAGAAACCAAGGCUCAGUUUUAUGCAUCAGAGAAAACCUCUCCUAAAAGAGAACUUGCCAAAGAUUUGUCUAAAUUCGGAGAAAGUCAAUGUAAUCUUUCAGAAGCUGGAGCGUCUUUACUGGUUGGCUCAAUAGAACCUUCUUUGUCAAAUCAAGAUAGAAAAUAUUCCUCAACUGUACCUAAUGAUGUACAGACUACCUCUGGUGAUCUGAAAUUGGACAAAAUUGAUCCCCAAAGACAGGAACUUCUAGUAAAAUUACUAGACGUGCCUACUGGUGAUUGUCAUAUUUCUCCAAAGAAUGUCAGUGAUGAGGUUAAAAGGGUAAGAAUAUCAUUAUUAAGCAAUGAGAGAGAUUCCAAAGGCAGGGAUCACCUCUCAGGAGUCCCUACUGAUGUUACAGUUACUGAGACUCCAGAAAAGAACACAGAAUCACUCAUUUUAAGCCUUAAAAUGAGCUCAUUGGGUAAAAUCCAAGUCACGGAGAAACAAGAGAAAGGACUUACUCUUGGAGUAGAGACGUGUGGGAGCAAAGGAAAUGCAGAGAAAAGUGUGUCUGCAACAGAAAAGCAGGAACGGACUGUCAUGAGCCAUGGCUGUGAGAACUUCAACACCAAUGAUUCAGUCACAGAAAAGAAGUCUCAAGGAGAAGGACCACAUUUAAGUUUGUUCAUUCCAAGGGAGACAACUUAUGAGUUUCAUUCUGUAUCGCAGUCAAGUAGUCAAAGUCUUGCUUCUCUAGCUACAAAAUUUCUUCCAGAAAAGAAAGCAGAAGCCUGGAAUCAUAAUCGUGUCCCUGAUGUAAAGGCAUUAACGGAGAGUCCCGAGGGACAGGUGUCUCUGGAGCCCAAAUCUGAUAGUCAGUUCCAAGCAUCACACACUAGGUGCCAGAGUCCUUUAUGUUCAGCCCAGCAUCACACUCCUCAGAGCCCCUUCACCAAUCAUGCUGCAGCUGCUGGCAGGAAGACCCUUCUCAGCUGUGUGGGACUGGAGUGGUUUCCAGAGCUCUAUCCUGGUUACCUUGGACUAGGGGUGUUGCCAGGGAAGCCUCAGCGUUGGAAUGCAGUGGCCCAGAAGCCACAACUUACGACUCCCCAGGGGGAAAGACUCUCACAAGUUUCUUUGUUGGAAAGAGCUCAACACAUAUAAGGAGUUUGGAACCCCCUACCGGACUUACAACCUCCAACUUCUCUCUAAUGAGGCUCUUGGGAGCUGUACAAAAAGGCUGGAUCAGGUGCAACACCACCAUAAGGAAGAGUGGAGUCGGUGGCAUCACGAUGCUCUUCACAGGGUACUUCGUCCUGUGUUGUAGCUGGAGUUUCAGACGUCUGAAGCUGCAGCGCUGGCGUAAGUGGUGUUGACCUGGACAUCACUUAAAGUUCUGGAACAGCAAAGAGCGUACGGUGGAGACGACUGCAAUACAUACUUAACAAUUUAAAAAUGUGUAAUAUGUGGGACAGGGAGAGGGAGUCAAAAAAAAAAUAAAGAAUAAAAUUAUUGGAAUCUAAAAU